UACGUAGGGUGCAGGCGUUAAUCGGAAUUACUGGGCGUAAAGAGUGUGUAGGCGGUUCUGUAAGUUUGGUGUGAAAUCUCCUGGCUUAACUGGGAGGGUGCGCCGAAAACUGCAAGGCUUGAGUACUGGAGAGGAUAGCGGAAUUCCUGGUGUAGCGGUGAAAUGCGUAGAUAUCUGGAGGAACACCGGUGGCGAAGGCGGCAUCCUGGACCACGACUGACGCUGAGUGAGCGAAAGCCAGGGGAGCAAACGGG
rnacentral:rRNA from 1 species